rnacentral:lncRNA from 1 species
GUUCAAUCCCAGGUCGUUUUCCCUUUCAGCUGCAAUGCCGGGAUUUUAAAUAGCAGAGAUGAAAGGCCCCUGCCCCCGCCUCCCUCCUCCCCUGAGUUCAUGUAUUAUGAAUGAAACGGCAGCCUCGCUGCUUCCUGAGGUGCUCCACUUCAGGCUGGGGUGCAAUGGCUCGAUCUCGGCUCAGUGCAACCUCUGCUUCCCGGGUUCAAGUGAUUCUCCUGCGUCAGCCUCCCAAGCAGCUGUGAAUACAGGUUGGAGUGCAGUGGUGCUGUGUCUGGAGUUUGUUCCUGCCGUUGGGUUUGUGGUCUUGCUGACUUCAAGAAUGAAGCCACGGACCUUCACGAGAAAUAUUACGUUGUAUGGAUGUACCACUGUUUGUUUAUCCAUUCUUCAGGUGAAGGACAUGUGGGUUGUGCCCAGCGCGGGCUGA